CCCAAUUCCCCCAGCCCCCACCCUCGGCUGCUGCCCGAGCUUCCUCCACGCGCCGUGCAGUCUCCACGGCGACGCUGCGUUCCCGACUCGGAGCCCCCAGCUCCGCGCGAGCAGCUAGCCGGGCUGGCUCUCGGUGUGUGCCCUUCGGAUGGUCUGCUGAAGAGGGCCGCCAGCUGACAGCAAAGAACAAACAGAAUGGCAGAUUGCUAAUGUUUGAUCCAAACGAAAAAGUGAUGAUUGAAUCAAACGAAGCAAUGUCAGAGUAAGAAGAUGUCUUUGAUUGUGCAGCUGAUCUCUCCCAUGCCUUUUAAGCAAUUAGAACUAGAUAAUGCAGCCAUUUGUCACCCAAUUAAAUUUGAAAGGCCAGAAAUGCAUGGAUUAGCACUUCAGCUUUUGCUGCAGUCAAAGCAAUUGUUACUAUAGAUAGAAGGACAGUUAAAAUGAAAAAUGAAUUUUGAUAAAAAUGCAGAAGUAUAGAUAAUAUUCACUUCUACUUUUUAAUGCUUAAACACCCUGUAUUCUGUAUUUUACUUGUAUCAUAAUUUUCAUUGCUCAUUCCUAUUUCCCUUUGAUACUUAUUUCUUUCACAAUAUUUCUUCAAGUGAAUAUGUACUUUAAAAUUAACAAAUUAUUUACUAUAACAUGAAUUGUUACUACUCAAUAAAGAAAGUAAUCACCUCAACUAGUUGAAGAAACUGGUGUUAAAAAAAUUGUAUUCUUUCCAGCCUUUUGGCUAAGAUCAAGUGUAAAAAAAUCACAGUACAA
rnacentral:lncRNA from 1 species